CCCAAUCCUAUAAUCUUCCAUACUUUUCUAUCAAACUCAUCAACUGAUAUCUCAUGAACUGGAGUCUAUUAUCAUUAAUCCAAUCCCAGAAUCAAUUGGAGGGUGAAAACAUUACUUUUUUGGAACCCUCCUUUGAGUUCUUGUAGAAAUCUCUUGAAGAUCUAAGAAUUUCAUGUGUAGGUUCAUCAAUACUAGUGUUAAAAUGGUGGAAUUCAGACAAAGUUAAUGGGAAUUCUUACUUUAAAGACGGGAGGAGUUGUAGGUCUUGGGAUAGGGGAGGAAAACCCGAAAAUUUGUCCAAAGGAAAUGGGGGAAGUGGACCCCCGAAUUUUCUUAUAAAG
rnacentral:lncRNA from 1 species